UACAGAGGUCUCAAGCGUUGUUCGGAUUCAUUGGGCGUAAAGGGUGCGUAGGCGGCGCGGUAAGUCGGGUGUGAAAUCUCGGAGCUUAACUCCGAAACUGCAUUCGAUACUGCCGUGCUUGAGGACUGGAGAGGAGACUGGAAUUUACGGUGGUGGCAGUGAAAUGCGUAGAUAUCGUAAGGAAGACCAGCGGCGAAGGCGAGUUCCCGUGGACAGUUACUGACGCUGAGGCACGAAGGCCAGGGGAGCAAACGGG
rnacentral:rRNA from 1 species